CGUGUAGGCGGGACGGCACGUCGGUCGCUGAAAUCCCCCGGCUCAACCGGGGAACGGGCGCCGAUACGACCGCCCUGGAGGGACGUAGGGGGACCUGGAACUUCCGGUGGAGCGGUGAAAUGCGUUGAGAUCGGAAGGAACGCCCGUGGCGAAAGCGAGGUCCUGGACGUUUUCUGACGCUGAGACGCGAAAGCCAGGGGAGCGAACGGGAUUAGAUACCCCGGUAGUCCUGGCCGUAAACGAUGGGCACUGGGUAGGGGGCUCGCCGAUGGGCUCCCUGCCGUAGGGAAACCGUGAAGUGCCCCGCCUGGGGAGUAUGGUCGCAAGGCUGAA
rnacentral:rRNA from 1 species